rnacentral:lncRNA from 1 species
UGUCCCAAGCCAUGCAGAUACAAUUGGCAGAUCGGGUGAUAGCUGACACUAUUCACUGGACUUGGCAAUGGUUUACCCAAUAGUUUACUUUUCUCCCUUACUUUCUCAUUCCCUCACUCUCAAAAAGGCCCCAACUUGCCCAGUAUUAAGCUCAGUGGUUCUGCCGCCUUCACAAGUGCAAGGACCAGAGUUCGACCCAUGGUACCAAAAAAAAAAAAAAAAAGGUCCCAACCUCCUGGUUCUCUCCCCUCCUAGGUAUGAUUCUCUUCAUUUAUGUGUGCAAGGGAGGGAAGAAACUGGCAUAUGUACUUCUGCUAAUGUGUAAGUGAUCGACAAUGAGUACAGGUUUUCAGAUGCAUUUUGAGUAAAACCUAGCUUUGUCUUGCUGAGAGGGGCCUGGGUAUUUAGGAAGAUAGCACAAAAAUGUCUGAGACUUCUUUGUCCUAGGGCCCAAGGGUGGGAUUUUUCUGGGCCAUUACACAGCUAUAUCUCUGUAUCUAUUCCUGGAGGUGGUAGAUGUCUUUCACAGGCUGGGAUUUUAGAACUUCUCCAUUCAGAGUCUUAACAUAAAAUUAGAAAGUAAGCCCUAAACAAUAUAGUUGGGACACUUCCAAUCUUCCCUUUGAUUUUUCUCUCUCAUUCUCUUUCAACAGGUUAAAAAGCAGUCAUUGGUUCCUUGAUUAUUGGUUUUUCUGCUCGCCAAUGCAGUUGAAGUCAACUGUACCUUUUGUCUCUGGAAGCAUAUUUUGCUAAGGACAACAGGCCCACCCUGGAAAAGCUCCUGAUCUUGAUUGUCUUUUUGCCCUUGAGAUGGUUAAGAUUUUGUACUUGUGCCAUAAUAGUCACUCUUCUGUCCCUGCUCCACUGCCUUGUCCCUGAGAAAUAAUGCAAUUUACAACAGUGUUUUAUCCAAGGCAACUCUCUUCUCUUGGCUGCUGGAUUCCAGGACCCAGUUUCCAGAAUGGGCAAGAAGCUUCUUGGAAAGGAAGAAUAAAUGAAGGAUAUAGAACUUUCCAAACAAUCAUGUCAACAGAGAAGAAAGCAGAGACAGAAGUUUCCCUCUUUCAACAUAAAGAGUCAAAACAUGAGGGCCAGGGAUUUAGCUCAGUGGUUUCACCGCCUGCUGCACAAGUGCAAGGACCCGAGUUCGAUCCCCCAGUACCAAAAAAAAGAGUCAAAACAUGGGCUAAUGGGUCUAGUAAAGAACUGCCCUUUAAAUAGUACUAUAUAAGGAGAGCAAGACAGUCAAGUACAUCACAAAAUAGUGCCCACUGCCACGAAAAACUUAAGUAGAAUAUACAAUUGUUGAAGGACAAGAAAGGAUUGAUUACCAGUCUCUGAGAUCCAGUUUUUUGAGCUGCUUAGCAGAUAAUAUCAGGACUACUCUGGGAAUCUACACAACCCUGAGUGCAUGAACUGACUCAUGACUGAACCUCAGGAAAGGGCAAUGCCCUACUGACCCAGUAAGAUCAAUCACAAACUGGAAAUGACACAAUGGAAAGGGAAGCUUAGAUAUCACCUAGUCCUAAAUGAACAAACAAAAUAAUUUAGAAAUGUUAUAACCUGUUCAGAAUUCCUAAUUACAAAAAUAAUUAAAAGCAGUAAGAUUAUUACGGGUUCUCACCUCAAAGAACUAGGACUAGAGGUCCCAUAUGACCCAGCUAUUCCCCUCCUGGGUAUCUUCCCCAAAGAAUUAAAAGAAUCAUACCACAGUGAUACAUGUGCACCCAUGUUCAUAGCAGCACAGUUAGAACAUCUAAAGCUUGGAAGCAGCCCAAGUGCCCAUCAACUGGAAACUAGAUAAAGAAAAUAUGGUUUUUUUAUAAAAUGGAGUACUACUCAGCCAUAAAGAAUGAAAAACUAGAGUCAUUUAUAGCUAAAUGGAUGCAUAUUGAGGCCAUACUCUUAAGUGAAAUAAAUAAGACACACGUGUAAAUACCAAAUAGUUUCACUAGUAUGAGAAACUGAUAGUGUAAACAAGGGUUAAAAUGAUUGAAAUGAAUAAUUGAUAAUUUGAAAUAGGAGAAAAGGUCCAAAGACGAAGGAGUGAAGGGAGGGGAAGGGGAAAGAAAAAGAGGGAAAGGAAAAACUAUGAGAAAAGAAAAAAAAUGGAAAUGAAAUCUAUGUAAAUAGGUAAGGGCAGAGGGGGUGAAAGGCGCACAGGUAAUGGGGAAAAAAAUAAGAACCAAUAUAUAUCAUGUACAGGUACAAACAGCCAAUGAUAAAUGUAAAUGAAUUGUACAACUAAAAUGUACCAAAAAAAUGUACCAAUAAAAUUUUUUUUAAAAAUUAUUAUGGGAUCUCAAAAUCCUUACCAUGUCAAAUAUAGUUGAACAGCUGCAGUAGAGGGGGAAAAAACCUUCCCAAUGCUGCAACAAGGGACUCUUUCCUUCACCACAUUAAGACAAAUGGAGGUCCUCUCAACACUCCUCUAAAUUGGUGGAAAAUGAGUGUAAGUUUUCUCUCCUUGCUGUAGGAUUUUAGGUUGGCAAGAAGAAAUAGAAAUCUAUGUUCCAAGUUAGUCAUAAAAAUCAAAGCUGAACUCAAAACAUUUUCUCAUAGGAAUAAUGAUAAUGGUUAAAUUUCCAAGCUGGUCCUCACAGUAAUUAAGCAAUGCAACUAAAUUACCAUUUUAAUUGAUGAGUUUUCUCAUUAUAAAUAUAAUAUUGAAGCUACCUUACAGAUGGAACUGGAUGGGGGGGGGUAGAAUUGUAGCCCUAACAUGCUUAUAGGGGAAAAAAAAUGUGUCCUAAGUUUUAAACAAUUAUUACAAAAACUUUUACAACCUCGCAAGCGCAAGGACCUGAGUUCGAUCCCCAGUACCAAAAAACAAAAAAACUUUUAGACCAUAAAUAAGGUAGGGACAGUAGAAGACAGCCACGAGAGAAUUAGAGAGUGACUUGCCUUAUUUAGCAGAAAAGUCAUCUAAAUUAUACCAAACCACAGCUGCUAAGGAAAUGUCUUCAGAAUAAUUAUCUCUCGUUUAACGGGGAUUUAAGUCCUGCCCUGUGCCCAAUGAUGUGACCCUCCACAGGGAAAAACAAUUUUUCUAAAGCUAAGCACAUAAGUCCUAUGAAUGCAAGAAUUUCAU